UAGCCUGAGUAAACAGCCGCCCAUUAUUGCUCGUUCCUCACAAGAAUAAACAUCAUUGAGAGGCAUGAGCAAUAAUAGGCGGCUGUUUACUCAGGCUA